rnacentral:rRNA from 1 species
AGUGACAGUUAUGCUCCACAAAAGCGCCCGAUCUCCUCUGAUCUAGGAAGCUAAGCAGGGUCGGGCCUGGUUAGUACUUGGAUGGGAGAGUCAAUGAGUUAUUU